CCCCGGUCCCUCGCAGUGAACAUGGUGCAGCAGUGAAGCGGUUAAACUGCUGUUCUAGUGUCCUCGCAAGAUGAAAACUAUUUUAGUCCCAUGACACUAGCACUAUGGGAGUUUAAUGCUACAGUUCAUUAAAAAUGGAGGCUGGCUAGAACCUCAGCAAAAUGAUUUGGUAACUUAGGCUUUGCACGUUCGCAGCAAAUCGGAAGGAAUGAUUUUUUACCUAUGUUGAGCUUGUUCGAAAUCCUGAAAAAUUCUGACGUGAAGUUGCUGCCGAGCCAGUUCGAGUUUAACUGUAUUCCUGUCUAUCGGGGCAGACUUCGAAAAAUGCAGGUUGUCUCGGGGCCAGAGAGAUACCUUGUGUUUCCUCCUCCGGAGAAAACCGAGCGGUUUCACGCGGGGAUGAGGGGAGGCUGCCCRGCGUGCAGCGGGGAUCCAGCGCGGAGCCGAAGCCUGGGUGAUCCUCCCCCCUCUGCCUGGUUACUUAAAAUAGUCAAACAGACAGGAUGUACCGGGCACAAUCUUACGGCUUUUGGAACAAGAUGACCUCUGAGCUCGUUAGCCUAUUGACCAAGUAAACGCCAACGGUUUGAUCUGCAGAYGGGACACGUUAGGAGAAGCGUGAUACUUCAGCAGCGCUUUUCCUGUGCUCAGAGAGGAGGACUAGACGUUGCUGAGCAGUUGUCCUGCCUUCUGGACAAAAGAAAAUAGUUCUGAAACUUUUUGAGGAGGGAAAUGACUCAGAAUUCUUGGUGGCUUAGCAGAAAUAAGAGGCCAAGCUUCCAAGGAGUUGUCUUGGCAGCCAGAGCGCAUCAAUUACUGUGCUCCACCUACAGUCCAGCCGUGGUGAGUCUGCCCCAAAAGCUGAUACCAGUUUCGUGUCCAUGUGCACAGUGCUGUGGAAUACUUGCAGCUAAAAUUAUGGUUAUCUUAGCAUUCGCUUUGUGCUAUAUAAAAGCAGGCUGUGUGAUAAGCGGGGGAGGAGRUUGACCAAGUUUGUGCUGCUGACGCAGGUAAUUGCCGAUUCAGUAGUAUGGCAA
rnacentral:lncRNA from 1 species